CCCCUCUCAAGGUCGCAUCUGGAGAGUUUCCAGUACUCUACCAGUCUCGGCUAUGGGAGGCAGAGUCAAGCAGAGGUCUACCCAUUCCAUUCCUAGGUUGGGAAGUGGCUAGUGAGUGGAAGGCAUUCUGCUACAAGU
rnacentral:snoRNA from 2 species